GAACUCCAGGGGGGCUGCCGGUGGUAAUCCGGAGGAAGAAGGUGGGGNCGUCUCAAGUCAUCAUCCCCCUUGGGAGUAGGGCCACACACGUGCUACAAUGGCGCAUACAGAGGGCGGCCAACUUGCGAAAGUGAGCGAAUCCCAAAAAGUGCGUCGUAGUCCGGAUUGGAGUCUGCAACUCGACUCCAUGAAGUCGGAAUCGCUAGUAAUCGUGGAUCAGAAUGCCACGGUGAAUACGUUCCCGGGCCUUGUACACACCGCCCGUCACACCAUGGGAGUGGGCUGCAAAAGAAGUGGGUAGUUUAACCUUCGGGAGGACGCUCACCACUUUGUGGUUCAUGACUGGGGUGAAGUCGUAACAAGGUAACCG
rnacentral:rRNA from 1 species